AGCAUAUCAAUAAGCGGAGGAAAAGAAACUAACAAGGAUUCCCCUAGUAACGGCGAGUGAAGCGGGAAGAGCUCAAAUUUAAAAUCUGGCAGUGUAUUCUGUCCGAGUUGUAGUCUAGAGAAGCAUCAUCCGUGCUGGACCAUGUACAAGUCUCUUGGAACAGAGCGUCAUAGAGGGUGAGAAUCCCGCCUUGACAUGGACUCCCAGUACUUUGUGUUGUGCUCUCAACGAGUCGAGUUGUUUGGGAAUGCAGCUCAAAAUGGGUGGUAAAUUCCAUCUAAAGCUAAAUAUUGGCGAGAGACCGAUAGCGAACAAGUACCGUGAGGGAAAGAUGAAAAGCACUUUGGAGAGAGAGUUAAACAGUACGUGAAAUUGUUGAAAUGGAAACGCUUGAAGUCAGUNNCGUUGUCUGGGAUUCAGCCUUGCUUUUGCUUGGUGCAUUUCCUGGUCUACGGGCCAGCAUGAAUUUUGACCAAUGGAAAAAGGCUUGGGGAAUGUGGCACUUCGGGUGUGUUAUAGCCCCUUGUCACAUACGUUGGUUGGGAUUGAGGUCUUAGUGCACGCUUCGGUUGUGCUUUGAUGCUGGCGUAAUGGCUUUAAACGACCCGUCUUGAAACACGGACCAAGGAGUCUAACAUGUCUGCAAGUGUUUGGGUGCAAAACCCGAGCGCGUAAUGUAAGUGANAGUUGGGAACCUCUUCAGAGGGGCACCGACGCCCGGACCAGACCUUCUGUGACGGAUCCGAGGUAGAGCAUAUAUGUUGGGACCCGAAAGAUGGUGAACUAUGCCUGCAUAGGGUGAAGCCAGAGGAAACUCUGGUGGAGGCUCGUAGCGAUUCUGACGUGCAAAUCGAUCGUCAAAUGUGGGUAUAGGGGCGAAAGACUAAUCGAACCAU
rnacentral:rRNA from 1 species